rnacentral:rRNA from 1 species
UACGUAGGGCGCAAGCGUUGUCCGGAAUUAUUGGGCGUAAAGAGCUCGUAGGCGGCUUGUCACGUCGGGUGUGAAAGCCCGGGGCUUAACCCGGAAAGGUCAGCCGAUACUGCGGGGCUAGAGUGCAGAAGGGGCAACUGGAAUUCUCGGUGUAGCGGUGAAAUGCGUAGAUAUCGAGAGGAACACCUGCGGCGAAGGCGGGUUGCUGGGCUGACACUGACGCUGAUGUGCGAAAGCUAGGGGAGCGAACGGG